GGUUCUGCCAUGCAGCGAUGCCUGCCCUGAGAGCCCAGGAGAGAGAGUGCUCCGCGCUGCUAACGUGGCAACCUGGUGCCUCCUGCUCCCGCAGUGGGUCUCCAGUCUUGGAGAGCUCUGUGCCCCUCCCUGGGCUGACUCUAGUGUGUAAAAAUAGGCAUGGCUCAUACAAGGUCCUGAAAACCAUGGCUGGGCUAGAUAAACAGCUAUCUGAUCCAGCGUCAGAGGGACACUCAGCUGUGCUGACUUAGUGAGGCCAGUGGCUCUCAAGUGUGGUGACUUGUUGAGGCGUUUUCUGCGAGACUUUAGGCCAGUCUUGCCUUCGGCUCUGCUCUGACCUUAGAACGUGAUCCUGGGGGCACCUCCGGCCAGGAGAGAGGUUUCUGGCAGAACAGGGAGUCCACGUUCGUCUGCUGCACUCUGCUGCCCCCCUCUGGUCAGGGUGCGGGGCCAUCUGCAGUCCUGAGCAUUGGUCUGUGGACAAGGCACCAGGAGACAGGAGGGCCUUGCAGAUGCUUACCCACAUGAAGUAAGAAGAGGAAGCAUCCUUCCCUGGCCUCUGAAUGAGCUGGGGAGGGACCGGCCAACCUCUGCCAAGCCUGGCACCGCUGAGCACAAGCACAGCACACAGCUGCCGCCCUCUUUCCUUUGGUCUCUUCCUGUCUUUCUCCUUCGUGAGAGUUAAAAGAUCUGGGGACUGGCCCCUACUUUGUCACGCACUAUGAGAUCUCAGCCAGGUGGUGUCCCUCCCAGGGCCUCAGUUUCUCCAUCCAUAGAAUGGAGCUCUUGGGCUCGGAGGUACAGCUUUGGCACUGUCUCAGAUUCUCAGGCUCAGGAUGAAUGAAGCGGCUUCCCAGACCCCGAGGACAGAUGGCUGAUGGGAGCCUUUCCCCAAGGCAGGGGCGGGGGCGGGGGGGAUUGGGCGGUAGGGGUGCUCUAGGUCUCUGUUCCUUUUUGAUGCUUUUUAUUUCAAAAUGUAGAUCUCUUUGCAGAUUUUUCCAGUUAUGAAAGUACUAUGAACACAUGAAACUACUCUCAGCUUCCCCAGUAAUCAUGGGAAUAAAAAUGUGAAUUGUGGUAUUAUGUCAUUUAUCACUCACCAGACUGGCAAACAUGGAACAGCCUGUGAAUGCCCAGCGUGGUUGAGGAUGCAGAGAAGGAGGUGAUCAGACGGCGGGUGCCCUGUUCUGAGCAAGUGCCUGUCCGUGGGUGUGCCCUGAGGAAGGACUUGCACACAGGAUGCUGGCCUAUGGUCCAGAGUGACCACCCAGCUUUCUUUGAAAGAGCAGAAAUGGCAGGUGUGCUGAGGUUCUGUCCAGAGGGAAGGGAGCUGGCUUACGACACGGACGUGGACAGAUGGCCCGCGCCAGCUGUGCCCACACUCCUCUCAACAAGAUCUUGCUGCUCCGCGGGUCGGGGGCUGGGAUCUAUUUCUCACCCGUGAACGCUGGCUGGCCUGUGACACACAGAACGUGCCAGGGGUACUGUGUGUGAGUCCCACAGCCUCUACAGGCCCUGUGGCUUCUGCCGUCGUCCUUUGAGAACCCCAAGCCUUCCAUGCUGUGGCAAAGACCGGGCCAGCCUGCUGAGGAGGGGCUUCCACGUGGGGAGGAAGUGAUACGCUGCAGCUGGCAGCCAGCACCAACUGCUGGAGGCACGAGGCCGUCCUGGACCCACGAGCCCUAGUUGUGUCCUCUGGGGGGAUGGUGUUCCUCUUGGAAAUGUGAGACCACCAUGGAAAUCCGCCUGCUGACCUGUGGGAGGAUGAGAGAAACACGGUGUGUGGCCCUCAUCCUCUCCCUCGGUUCUCCAGCUGAUGACCAGCCAAACCCAGAAGCAGAGCCUUUGCUGACCUGCUGCUGACCACAGAUGCACGAGGAAGCUGGGAGAGGCCGCUGGAACCGCCCCACAGAGCCAGGUUGAGUUGCCUGCGAGGAAAGUAGAACCGCUGAACUUUGGGAAGUUUGUUACACAGCGAUAGACAGCUGACACACCCUCCACGCAACCCACCUCCAUAAAGAGAAGGACGGGAUGGACCGGAUGCAGAAAGCAGGCAGCGCGGAAGCGAGCAAAGUGAGGUCCCUCCUCGAGGUGAUUCCACCAACAAAGGCACCUCCACCCACAGGCCCAAACUGCCUGGAAGCCAGAGGAAGUCUGGAUGAUGGAGUCUGUGUUUAGCCACCUGGGGAAGCAGGAUAGAGCAGGAUGAGAGCACAGGGAGAAUAAAGUGAAUAACCAGAGCACAAACCCUCGAGAUCCCCUUCCAGAGUGCUCCGUGCCUCACACGACUCAUAGAGGACGAAGAGCCCCUCCCCAGCAGCGCGUCCUGAGACCAUCUACCUCAGCACCACGAGCUCUGCUCACACAGGCUUGGGGAGGGCAGUGUUGGCACUGCAGGCCUGCCUUCUGAGCAACUCCCUCUUCCUGGGAGCCGGGAGCCUGAAGGGAUGCCCAUGAACUUGGUCUUGCCUGGGCCACCUUGGCAUGUAUCUCCUGGGUGCCUACAGCUGCAAGUAAGGGAAGAGUCAAUGGGCAGACUCCUGGGCGGAAAGCAUGUUUAUUAUCUCACCUGACAAGGAGUUGAGAGCUAGGGCUUCAGGACUGGCUCGACAACUCAGCCCUGUACCCCCUGGGUGGUUUCUUCCCAUUUCCCUUCCCCAGGCCCUGGCAACAACCAAUCUGUGCUCUGUCUCCAUGGGUUUACUUCUUGUGGAUAUUUCGGAUAAAAGGAAUCCUACAAUAUGUGACCUUUUGUGUCUGACAUCAUUCACUUGACAAAAUGCCUUUGAAGUUCACCCACAUCUCGGUAUUUUGUUCCUGUCCUCUGUGAAGGAGGACUGUGGCAUAAAAAACAAUUUGUCUGAUCUUUGUCCCAGGGGAUGAACGUCUAAAACUUGGGAUUUCCGGAGUGAUAGGAGUGUCUUUGUCAUUCUGAUGAGGCGGCCCAGGCCCCUAGAUGACGUCAGGACAGGGGCUGGUCCCCAGAAUGGCCGACCGCACAACUGGAGGGCUGGGACUUUCCACCUGAGAGUUGAGGGGGGCUUGAGAUUGAGUUCAGUAAUGUGUCUGAUGAUUUAAUCAAUACACCUAUGUAAUGAAACCCCCACAAAAACUUUGGACGCUGAAGCUCAGCGGAGCUUCUGGUUGGUGAGCACGGGGACGUGCCAGGAGGGUGACACACCACGCUCCAGGGGAGAGCGCACAGGAGCUCUGUGUCACCUCUCUGACUUGCCUACGCCUCUCUCCAUGUCCCUGGUCCUCCUGAUCUGCACCCUUUAUAACAAAACUGCAAUCACAAGGACAGUGUUUUCCUGAGUUCUGUGAGUCAUUCUCACGAAUUAUCGAACCCAAAAGGAUCACAAGAACUCCUGAGUUUAUAGCCAGUCAAUCAGAAGCAUGGCGGCCUGGGGAUCCCCUGAGACUGGCACCUGGCACUGAAGUGGGGGCAAUCCUUUGGACAGUGUCCUUGGCCCGGGGAGUCUGACGCCAACUCCAGGUGGUUAGCAUUAGAGCUGAAUUGCAGUAUACUCAGUUGAGAUUUCCCAGAUUAGUGGUCAAUAAUAUUCCAUUGUUGGCGUAUCACAAAUAAAUUGUUUAUUCACUCGUCCCUUGAUGGGCAUUCUGGCAGUUUGCACCUUUUGGUUAUUGUGAAUAGUGCUGCCGUGAACGUGUGUCUGGUUGGAUGGGAGGUUCUUUUGGGCAUGUGACUGGAAGUGGAAUUGCGGGGUCACGUGUUUAUUCUAUGCUUAACUUUUUGAGGAGCCACUAAACACAUCAUACACAGCAACUGCAUUAUUUUACAUUCCACCAACAACAUACGAGGGUUCCAAUUUCUCCACUUCUUUGCUAUCUUAGUCUGUUCAGGCUGCUAUAACAACAAAAUACCGCAGACUGGGUAGAAUAUAAACAACAGAAUUUUAUUUCUCAUAAUUCUGAAGGCUGGAGGUCCAAGAUCAGGGUGCCAGCAUGGAUGGGGGAGAGCCUUCUUCCUGGUUCAUAACUGGAGCCUUCCCACUGUGUCCUCACCUGGUGGAGGGGGCUAGAGAGCUCUGUGGGGUCUCUUUUAUUAAGCACUAAUUGCACUUGUGAGGGCCCCAAUCUUAUGACCUAAGUACCUCUCAAAGGCUUUAACUCCUAAUACCAUCUCAUCAGGGGUUAGGACUCCAAUAUAUGAAUUUUGGGGGAACAUAAACAUUCAGACCAUUACACUGGCCGAUAUUUGUAAUCUUCUGGGUUGUUUUUUAAAAUUCCUAUUGGGUGUGAAGUGGUAUUUCAUUGUGGCUUUGAUUUGCAUUUUCCUAGUGACUAAUGAUGUUGAGCAUAUUUUCACGCAUUUAUUGGCCAUUUAUACAACUUCUUUGGAAAAAUGUCUCUUCAAGUUCUUUGCCCUUUUUAGAAUUGGUUUGUUCGUGUUUUUGUUUUUGAUAAUAGAUCUUUAUAUAUACUGGACAGUAGGCCCUUAUCAGAUAUGUGAUUUGCAAAUGUUUCCUCCCAUUCUAUAGGUUGUCUUUUCAUUUUCUGGAGAAUGUCCUUUGAUGCCCCCAAAUUUUAAUUUUACUGAAAUCCAAUUUAUCUAUUUUUUUGUUGCUUUUCUUUUGGCGUCGCAUCUGAGAACCCAUUGCCCCAUGUUUUCUUCUAAGAGUUUUAUGGUUUUAGCUCUUACAUUUAGGUUGUUGACAAGAUGUUUUUGGCUAUUCAGGGCCCCCUGCACUUCCGUAUGAAUUUGAGAGCUGUCUUUUUCAUUUCUGCAAAAAAGACUAUUGGAAUUUUGACAGGGAUUACAUUAAAUCUGUAGGUUGCUUCGGGUAGUGUCGACAUUUUAGCAGUAUUAAUUCUUCCAAUUGAUGAACAUUUUCCAACUGAUGCUUCCAUUUAUUU